UGGGGAAUAUUGCACAAUGGACGGAAGUCUGAUGCAGCAACGCCGCGUGCGGGAUGACGGCCUUCGGGUUGUAAACCGCUUUUUCUCAUGACGAAGUUUUUUGACGGUAGUGGGGGAAGAAGCACCGGCUAACUACGUGCCAGCAGCCGCGGUGAUACGUAGGGUGCGAGCGUUGUCCGGAAUUAUUGGGCGUAAAGAGCUUGUAGGCGGUUUGUCGCGUCGAUAGUGCAAACUCAGUGCUUAACGCUGAGCCUGCUGUUGAUACGGGCAGACUAGAGGAAGGUAUGGGAGAAUGGAAUUCCCGGUGGAGCGGUGGAAUGCGCAGAUAUCGGGAGGAACACCGGUGGCGAAGGCGGUUCUCUGGGCCUUUCCUGACGCUGAGAAGCGAAAGCGUGGGGAGCGAACAGG
rnacentral:rRNA from 1 species